rnacentral:rRNA from 1 species
CAAGGUUUCCGUAGGUGAACCUGCGGAAGGAUCAUUACCGAGUUGAUUCGAGCUCCGGCUCGACUCUCCCACCCAAUGUGUACCUACCUCUGUUGCUUUGGCGGGCCGCGGUCCUCCGCACCGGCGCCCUUCGGGGGGCUGGCCAGCGCCCGCCAGAGGACCAUAAAACUCCAGUCAGUGAACUUCGCAGUCUGAAAAACAAGUUAAUAAACUAAAACUUUCAACAACGGAUCUCUUGGUUCUGGCAUCGAUGAAGAACGCAGCGAAAUGCGAUAAGUAAUGUGAAUUGCAGAAUUCAGUGAAUCAUCGAAUCUUUGAACGCACAUUGCGCCCCUUGGUAUUCCGAGGGGCAUGCCUGUUCGAGCGUCAUUUCAACCCUCAAGCUCUGCUUGGUAUUGGGCCUCGUCCUCCACGGACGCGCCUUAAAGACCUCGGCGGUGGCGUCUUGCCUCAAGCGUAGUAGAAAACACCUCGCUUUGGAGCGCACGGCGUCGCCCGCCGGACGAACCUUUGAAUUAUUUCUCAAGGUUGACCUCGGAUCAGGUAGGGAUACCCGCUGAACUUAAGCAUA